rnacentral:rRNA from 1 species
AGCCCGCUCAGAAACUACAAAGGAAGUUGACGGGGCCCGCACAAGCGGUGGAGUAUGUGGUUUAAUUCGAUGCAACGCGAAGAACCUUACCUGGUCUUGACAUCCCAGAAAUCCCUUGGAAACUUGGGAGUGCUUCCAUUAGGAAGAAUCUGGAGACAGGUGCUGCAUGGCUGUCGUCAGCUCGUGUCGUGAGAUGUUGGGUUAAGUCCCGCAACGAGCGCAACCCUUGCCUUUAGUUGCCAGCAGUUCGGCUGGGCACUCUAAAGGGACUGCCGGUGUUAAACCGGAGGAAGGUGGGGAUGACGUCAAGUCCUCAUGGCCUUUAUGACCAGGGCUACACACGUACUACAAUGGCCGAUACAAAGGGCAGCGACAUCGCGAGGUGAAGCCAAUCCCAUAAAAUCGGUCUCAGUCCGGAUUGGAGUCUGCAACUCGACUCCAUGAAGUUGGAAUCGCUAGUAAUCGUGGAUCAGCAUGCCACGGUGAAUACGUUCCCGGGCCUU